GGUUAAGCGACUAAGCGUACACGGUGGAUGCCCUGGCAGUCAGAGGCGAUGAAGGACGUGCUAAUCUGCGAUAAGCGUCGGUAAGGUGAUAUGAACCGUUAUAACCGGCGAUUUCCGAAUGGGGAAACCCAGUGUGUUUCGACACACUAUCAUUAACUGAAUCCAUAGGUUAAUGAGGCGAACCGGGGGAACUGAAACAUCUAAGUACCCCGAGGAAAAGAAAUCAACCGAGAUUCCCCCAGUAGCGGCGAGCGAACGGGGAGGAGCCCAGAGCCUGAAUCAGUGUGUGUGUUAGUGGAAGCGUCUGGAAAGGCGCGCGAUACAGGGUGACAGCCCCGUACACAAAAAUGCACAUACUGUGAGCUCGAUGAGUAGGGCGGGACACGUGGUAUCCUGUCUGAAUAUGGGGGGACCAUCCUCCAAGGCUAAAUACUCCUGACUGACCGAUAGUGAACCAGUACCGUGAGGGAAAGGCGAAAAGAACCCCGGCGAGGGGAGUGAAAAAGAACCUGAAACCGUGUACGUACAAGCAGUGGGAGCACGCUUCGGCG
rnacentral:rRNA from 1 species